GACGAACGCUGGCGGCGUGCUUAACACAUGCAAGUCGAACGGAAAGGCCCUGCUUUUGUGGGGUGCUCGAGUGGCGAACGGGUGAGUAACACGUGAGUAACCUGCCCUUGACUUUGGGAUAACUUCAGGAAACUGGGGCUAAUACCGGAUAGGAGCUCCUGCUGCAUGGUGGGGGUUGGAAAGUUUCGGCGGUUGGGGAUGGACUCGCGGCUUAUCAGCUUGUUGGUGGGGUAGUGGCUUACCAAGGCUUUGACGGGUAGCCGGCCUGAGAGGGUGACCGGCCACAUUGGGACUGAGAUACGGCCCAGACUCCUACGGGAGGCAGCAGUGGGGAAUAUUGCACAAUGGGCGGAAGCCUGAUGCAGCAACGCCGCGUGCGGGAUGACGGCCUUCGGGUUGUAAACCGCUUUCGCCUGUGACGAAGCGUGAGUGACGGUAAUGGGUAAAGAAGCACCGGCUAACUACGUGCCAGCAGCCGCGGUGAUACGUAGGGUGCGAGCGUUGUCCGGAUUUAUUGGGCGUAAAGGGCUCGUAGGUGGUUGAUCGCGUCGGAAGUGUAAUCUUGGGGCUUAACCCUGAGCGUGCUUUCGAUACGGGUUGACUUGAGGAAGGUAGGGGAGAAUGGAAUUCCUGGUGGAGCGGUGGAAUGCGCAGAUAUCAGGAGGAACACCAGUGGCGAAGGCGGUUCUCUGGGCCUUUCCUGACGCUGAGGAGCGAAAGCGUGGGGAGCGAACAGGCUUAGAUACCCGUGGUAGUCCACGCUGUAAACGGUGGGUACUAGGUGUGGGGUCCAUUCCACGGGUUCCGCGCCGUAGCUAACGCUUUAAGUACCCCGCCUGGGGAGUACGGCCGCAAGGCUAAAACUCAAAGGAAUUGACGGGGCCCCGCACAAGCGGCGGAGCAUGCGGAUUAAUUCGAUGCAACGCGUAGAACCUUACCUGGGUUUGACAUGGAUCGGGAGCGCUCAGAGAUGGGUGUGCCUCUUUUGGGGUCGGUUCACAGGUGGUGCAUGGCUGUCGUCAGCUCGUGUCGUGAGAUGUUGGGUUAAGUCCCGCAACGAGCGCAACCCUUGUUCACUGUUGCCAGCACGUUAUGGUGGGGACUCAGUGGAGACCGCCGGGGUCAACUCGGAGGAAGGUGGGGAUGACGUCAAGUCAUCAUGCCCCUUAUGUCCAGGGCUUCACGCAUGCUACAAUGGCUGGUACAGAGAGUGGCGAGCCUGUGAGGGUGAGCGAAUCUCGGAAAGCCGGUCUCAGUUCGGAUUGGGGUCUGCAACUCGACCUCAUGAAGUCGGAGUCGCUAGUAAUCGCAGAUCAGCAACGCUGCGGUGAAUACGUUCCCGGGGCU
rnacentral:rRNA from 1 species